rnacentral:rRNA from 1 species
UAGUUUCCUGCCUGUUUAUCAAAGACAUGGUUUUAAUGAAUUAAAAUGUAGAAUCUGACCUGCUCAGUGUAAAAAGAUAUAUACCCGCGGUAUGUUGACUGUGCGAAGGUAGUAUAAAUUAAGACUAUUAAUUGUAGUCUUGAAUGAAGGGUUUGACGAGGAAACUACUGUCUUAUUUGUAUAGUUGAAUUUAAAAAGCUGGUAAAAAUGCUACUAUAAUAUAAAAAGAUGAGAAGACCCUAUUGAAUUUUAUAUUCAUAUCUAGGGAAUAUUAGUUUAUUAUUUGAUUUAUAAUAUUUGAUUGGGGCGUUAUUUAAAUUAAACAAAGUAUAUUUUAAAGGUUGAUUUUUUGAUUCAUUAUUAAUGAUUAAUAGAAUAAAUUACCAUAGGAAUAACGGCAUAAUUUAAUUGGAGAGUUCUUAUUGAUAAUUGAGUUUGUGACAUCAAUGAUGGAUUAAGAUUCCUUCUAGGUGCAGGUGCUUGGAAAGGUAGACUGUUCGUCUAUUAAAAUCUUACAUGCUCUGAGUUCAGACCGGCGUAACAGGUUGGUUUUU